UUGCUUCUCAAACUGUGGGAGCUUGUUAGAAAGGCAGUCUCCAGGCUACACGUUCGCCGUAUUAAGACCACGCGCGUGUCCCCAGACCCCUGUCCCUUCCCUAGUCCCGGUUUUGCAAAUGCUGGUGACAUAC
ensembl:snoRNA SNORA72 Small nucleolar RNA SNORA72